ACUCUGCUCAUGGUCGUCUACCAAUUGGUGCACAUGUCUCUUCGGAUAAAUUCUCGUGUUCGGGAGGAGCGGAUGCCAGUAAGCUUGCACUUCUGCGGAGACAAUGUGACGACCACGUCGGGAAGCCUGAAUAUUACUUUGCCAACACAUUCAGUAAGGUCCAUCGGCACGUUUACACUUUUCCGUAUUUCACCUUAUUGGAGUAGUCUGUUCAGCACAGUUGUCACAUACGUCGGAGGACUUGCCAUAAGUAUUUGUUUGGGUGGCACCAAUCUUUCCGAUGUGGAAAUGCACAAAUUGACGUCCAAUCUCUUAUUCCCACUGUGGCGACGUCUUAGGCUGAUGCCUUCUGCAGAAGAAAAUUCUGCCACCAAUUCGAGAAGAAAUCACACCACCGCAAUAAGGGAACAAAAUCUGCAAAUUCCAUUGACUUCAGAAACUUUUCUUUGAAUUUCUCCCAUGGAGGUAACUGCUCUCUCAUCGAAGAAACAAGCAAUAACCUUUCCACUGUGGCAAUCACCAAACACCAGAUGGCAGCUAGGAUUGUCGCGAAAUAUACACAGCGUUUUCCUAUUGA